rnacentral:rRNA from 1 species
UACGUAGGGGGGCUAGCGUUGUCCGGAAUCAUUGGGCGUAAAGCGCACGUAGGCGGCUCUGAAAGUUGGAUGUGAAAUCCCUCGGCUCAACCAAGGAAGUGCAUCCAAAACUGCAGAGCUUGAGUACUUAAGAGGAUCGCGGAAUUCCCGGUGUAGAGGUGAAAUUCGUAGAUAUCGGGAGGAACACCAGUGGCGAAGGCGGCGAUCUGGGGAAGAUACUGACGCUGAGACGCGAAAGCGUGGGGAGCAAACAGG